rnacentral:rRNA from 1 species
GCGGGGCGGUGUGCCUAUACAUGCAAGUCGUACGCACUGGCCCAACUGAUUGAUGGUGCUUGCACCUGAUUGACGAUGGAUCACCAGUGAGUGGCGGACGGGUGAGUAACACGUAGGUAACCUGCCCCGGAGCGGGGGAUAACAUUUGGAAACAGAUGCUAAUACCGCAUAACAAUAAAAGCCGCAUGGCUUUUAUUUGAAAGAUGGCUUUGGCUAUCACUCUGGGAUGGACCUGCGGUGCAUUAGCUAGUUGGUAAGGUAACGGCUUACCAAGGCGAUGAUGCAUAGCCGAGUUGAGAGACUGAUCGGCCACAAUGGAACUGAGACACGGUCCAUACUCCUACGGGAGGCAGCAGUAGGGAAUCUUCCACAAUGGGCGCAAGCCUGAUGGAGCAACACCGCGUGAGUGAAGAAGGGUUUCGGCUCGUAAAGCUCUGUUGUUGGAGAAGAACGUGCGUGAGAGUAACUGUUCAUGCAGUGACGGUAUCCAACCAGAAAGUCACGGCUAACUACGUGCCAGCAGCCGCGGUAAUACGUAGGUGGCAAGCGUUAUCCGGAUUUAUUGGGCGUAAAGCGAGCGCAGGCGGUUGCUUAGGUCUGAUGUGAAAGCCUUCGGCUUAACCGAAGAAGUGCAUCGGAAACCGGGCGACUUGUAAGUU